rnacentral:rRNA from 1 species
UACGUAGGGGGCAAGCGUUGUCCGGAAUCAUUGGGCGUAAAGCGCGUGUAGGCGGCUCGAUAAGUCUGCUGUGAAAGUUCAGGGCUCAACCCUGAAAUGCCGGUGGAAACUGUCGAGCUAGAGUCCGGAAGAGGCGAGUGGAAUUCCUGGUGUAGCGGUGAAAUGCGCAGAUAUCAGGAGGAACACCAAUGGCGAAGGCAGCUCGCUGGGACGGUACUGACGCUGGAGACGCGAAAGCGUGGGGAGCAAACAGG